rnacentral:rRNA from 1 species
GUAGGUGAACCUGCGGAGGGAUCAUUACCGAGUUUACAACUCCCAAACCCCUGUGAACAUACCUAUACGUUGCCUCGGCGGAUCAGCCCGCGCCCUGUAAAACGGGACGGCCCGCCCGAGGACCCUAAACUCUGUUUUUAGUGGAACUUCUGAGUAAAACAAACAAAUAAAUCAAAACUUUCAACAACGGAUCUCUUGGUUCUGGCAUCGAUGAAGAACGCAGCAAAAUGCGAUAAGUAAUGUGAAUUGCAGAAUUCAGUGAAUCAUCGAAUCUUUGAACGCACAUUGCGCCCGCCAGUAUUCUGGCGGGCAUGCCUGUUCGAGCGUCAUUUCAACCCUCAAGCUCAGCUUGGUGUUGGGACUCGCGGUAACCCGCGUUCCCCAAAUCGAUUGGCGGUCACGUCGAGCUUCCAUAGCGUAGUAAUCAUACACCUCGUUACUGGUAAUCGUCGCGGCCACGCCGUAAAACCCCAACUUCUGAAUGUUGACCUCGGAUCAGGUAGGAAUACCCGCUGAACUUAAGCAUAUCAAUAAGCGGAGGA